rnacentral:rRNA from 1 species
UACGUAGGGGGCAAGCGUUGUCCGGAUUUAUUGGGCGUAAAGAGCGUGUAGGCGGCCUUACAGGUCAGCUGUGAAAACUCGAGGCUCAACCUCGAGAGGUCGGUUGAAACCGUAAGGCUAGAGUCCGGAAGAGGAGAGUGGAAUUCCCGGUGUAGCGGUGAAAUGCGCAGAUAUCGGGAAGAACACCCGUGGCGAAGGCGGCUCUCUGGGACGGUACUG